rnacentral:rRNA from 2 species
UAAAGCAUCCGUAGCCGGUUCUGCAAGUCCUCCGUUAAAUCCAGCCGCUCAACGGAUGGGCCGCGGAGGAUACUAUAGGACUGGGAGGCGGGAGAGGCAAGCGGUACUCAGUGGGUAGGGGUAAAAUCCUUUGAUCCAUUGAAGACCACCAGUGGCGAAGGCGGCUUGCCAGAACGCGCUCGACGGUGAGGGAUGAAAGCUGGGGGAGCAAACCGGAUUAGAUACCCGGCUAGUCCCAGCUGUAAACGAUGCAGACUCGGUGAUGGGCUAGCCUUGUGCCAGCCCAGUGCCGCAGGGAAGCCGUUAAGUCUGCCGCCUGGGAAGUACGUACGCAAGUAUGAAACUUAAAGGAAUUGGCGGGGGAGCACA